UACGUAGGGUGCGAGCGUUGUCCGGAAUUAUUGGGCGUAAAGAGCUCGUAGGCGGUUCGUCGCGUCGAAUGUGAAAACCCGGGGCUCAACUCCGGGUCGGCCGUGCGAACUGGGGGACUGGAGCUUGUCAGAGGCAGGCGGAAUUCCGGGUGUAGCGGUGGAAUGCGUAGAGAUCCGGAAGAACACCGGUGGCGAAGGCGCUCUGCUGGACCAUAACUGACACUCAGGGACGAAAGCUAGGGGAGCGAAUGGG
rnacentral:rRNA from 1 species